GACAGAGGUGCCAAGCGUUAGGCGGAAUCACUGGGCUUAAAGCGUGUGUAGGCGGACUUCUAAGUACCUUGUGAAAUCCCCCGGCUCAACCGGGGAACUGCUGGGUAUACUGGGAGUCUUGAGCCACUUAGGGGUCGCCGGAACAAAUGGUGGAGCGGUGAAAUGCGUAGAUAUCAUUUGGAACGCCAAUGGUGAAAACAGGCGACUGGGAGUGUGCUGACGCUGAGACACGAAGGCCAGGGGAGCGAACGGG
rnacentral:rRNA from 1 species